rnacentral:tRNA from 1 species
CUAGUCUAGCUCAGCUGGUAGAGCGCCUGCUUUGCACGCGGAGGUCAGGAGUUCGAGUUCGUCUCCCGAACUUAGCUA